rnacentral:lncRNA from 1 species
CCUGAAAAGACAUUAAGUGUAUAGCAAAGACUCCAGCUUGAGCUUCAGUUGUGCUUCAGGGAAAACGGUACUAGAAGAUAGCUACUGGAUUGCUUUAUUAUUACACAGUCUCCCAAACAACUUCUAUUUAAAGAAAAGGGAAGUGUUGAUUAUUCCUGGGCAAGAUGGCUGAAUAGGAGCAGCUCCAGUCUGCAGCUUCCAACGAGACCAACG